UACGUAGGGUGCGAGCGUUAAUCGGAAUUACUGGGCGUAAAGCGUGCGCAGGCGGUUUUGUAAGCCAGGUGUGAAAUCCCCGGGCUCAACCUGGGAAUGGCAUUUGGGACUGCAAGGCUGGAGUGCGGCAGAGGAGACUGGAAUUCCUGGUGUAGCAGUGAAAUGCGUAGAUAUCAGGAGGAACACCGAUGGCGAAGGCAGGUCUCUGGGCUGACACUGACGCUCAUGCACGAAAGCGUGGGGAGCAAAAGGG
rnacentral:rRNA from 1 species